CCCUUCGGGGCUCCUUGGUGAAUCAUAAUAACUUAACGAAUCGCAUGGCCUUGCGCCGGCGAUGGUUCAUUCAAAUUUCUGCCCUAUCAACUUUCGAUGGUAGGAUAGUGGCCUACCAUGGUGGCAACGGGUAACGGGGAAUUAGGGUUCGAUUCCGGAGAGGGAGCCUGAGAAACGGCUACCACAUCCAAGGAAGGCAGCAGGCGCGCAAAUUACCCAAUCCCGAUACGGGGAGGUAGUGACAAUAAAUACUGAUACGGGGCUCUUUUGGGUCUCGUAAUUGGAAUGAGAACAAUUUAAAUCCCUUAACGAGGAACAAUUGGAGGGCAAGUCUGGUGCCAGCAGCCGCGGUAAUUCCAGCUCCAAUAGCGUAUAUUAAAGUUGUUGCAGUUAAAAAGCUCGUAGUUGAACCUUGGGCCUGGCUGGCCGGUCCGCCUCACCGCGAGUACUGGUCCGGCUGGGCCUUUCCUUCUGGGGAACCUCAUGGCCUUCACUGGCUGUGGGGGGAACCAGGACUUUUACUGUGAAAAAAUUAGAGUGUUCAAAGCAGGCCUUUGCUCGAAUACAUUAGCAUGGAAUAAUAGAAUAGGACGUGUGGUUCUAUUUUGUUGGUUUCUAGGACCGCCGUAAUGAUUAAUAGGGAUAGUCGGGGGCGUCAGUAUUCAGCUGUCA
rnacentral:rRNA from 1 species